rnacentral:lncRNA from 1 species
AGAGAGGUGAAAACUACAAAAGGAAGAAUAAAUAUGAAAGCAAUGACAUUUAUAGUAUGAAAAUUAAAUAUCCUUUUAGGCUAAGAUCUAUGUUAUGUUGUGGUGGUUGGAAGGUGAUUGUUAGGUGCGAGUUGCACAAUCAUAAACUAUCUAAGGAUUUAGAUGACCACGACAUACUGGGUCGUUUAAAAGAUCAUGAAAGAAAAUUUAUGAAUGACAUGACGAUGUACGAUAUGGCUCCAAGGUGCAUAAU